rnacentral:misc_RNA from 1 species
CGAUCGGUCCGAGAGCUUUUACAUCCUCGACUUCGUCCUGCACCGGCGGCCACUCUAUCCGUCUGACGGCGUUUAACGGAGCUGCUGCGAUGCUCUGGGUCGCCGAUGCGAUUCGCGUCUUUCUAUUGUGACGCGGCGAUAAAUCAUCAUCACCGUCAUCUUCAUCCCGAAAUGUACACCUCUGCGGCGGACGCCGACAUCGUCAUCGUCAUCGACACCAGACCUUCUUCCGUUCGCUUCCUGGGCUGAGCUGAUAGUGCGCCUGUGCAGCGGCUUGCGCGAUUCCAGGAUAGCCGCGAUUCUUUCCCCGUCACACCGGGGAGACCCUGACUUUGAAUAAACGCGCGCCGAACUCUCGAACUACGUUACACGGUUAUUGCGCUAUCGCCGAGUGACUAACGUCCAGGAGUAGUUACGCGGGUGAAGAUUAAAAAAAAAAAAAAACAAAAAAAAAGCAUCGACUCCGUAAAGUGCAUCGAGUUUCUCGCCCGGCGUCGAAUCCUCGCCGACUGGUUUUAUAUCCGAAUCAUUCGACUAUUGCGGAUGAUUUACCGCAAAGUCAAGAACCCCGAGAGGGCGUGAAUCGGACCUUUACUCGCGCAGUAAUAAAGGCAGUGCCCUAGUUCUACUUGCGGAGCGCGUGUUUUCCCGCAGGCAUCAUUACUCAGUGCGCGAAGAACGAGCGAGCUGGCGAGCCAGAUGUCUAAGCUGUGUAUAGUUAUCUCAUAGAUCGCGCACCGCUCUACGGGAAGAUAAUAACAACACGUCGGAUAGGCGUAAGAUAAGAAGAUAAGUAGAUGAAUAGAUGGUCGGCGAGGUGAAGGGGGAGUCGAGAGUUGCCGGGAUGUCGUCGCGUUGCGCGGAUGUCAUGGUGCAGAGGCGCGUCGGCGCGUGAGUGUGUGACGUCGUCGUUCCGACGUCGAGACGCUGAUCCGUCGGUCCGUCGGUCCGUCGGGUUGAUAGGACGGAUAGGACGGGAACGGCUCGAGUCCGGGUUGGGGUGGCGUACGUGGCGUGCGCCGUCCCUGCUUGCGGGGCUGAAAAGCAAGUGCAGUGUGCCGAAAACGCGAGGUGGUUUCGUCGUCGGUCCCUGCACCUCGUACUCAUAACGGGCGACAGAGAAGGUGAGAGAAGGCGAGAAAGAGAGAAAGAGAAGGAGAGAGCUCGAAAAAGCUCGCCGGUCGUUGCGGUGCCGAGCGGCGAGGAAUCGGAGCGGAGAGCGACGCAGAUCGGCCGGAUCACCGGAGGAAGAGAGUUGGGGAGAAGAAACGCAGGAGAAAACCGUCACGCCAGCGAAACGAUUGUUCUCCUUCGUCUCCGGAGGAGCAACGAAGAAUCCGCUGAUUAUCCAUUUUUUUUUUUUUUUUUUUUUUUUCCUCCGCACGCAUCUUCUCUCAUCCCUUGUCGCGACCCCCCUCGGCGUUACUAAUUUCAAUAUUUGCAACGCACGCACACCUACGCACACCCGCAAACGCACACGCACGCGUACGCAGCAGUGCGUUGAUAUGGUCAGCUGUGUGCGGACCGCGGUGUUGAAGAUACGCCGCUGUGAAAUAUCAGGAAAUGCGCCCUAGGCACAACGCGACGUUUAUCGACAGGGACACCCUACGGCAUCGAAAUGUUCGCGUACGGUUUCGAGAUCACAUAGGCAUGUAAUACAUUAUAAUCAAAUGUGCGGCGUGUGCCUUGUGUAAUUUCACGGUGAAAAUCUGGCGUAAACGGUGCCGCGGUGGGUCAGGGAUCAUGGCGUCGGUCUCGGCCGAGACACCAGCCAGCCAUGGGCACAGCUUCAGCAAGAAAACGUUUCACAAACCCACCUACUGUCAUCACUGCACGGACAUGCUCUGGGGCCUCUUACAGCAGGGGUACACCUGCGAAGUCUGCAACUUCGUGGUGCACGACCGCUGUCUCAAGACCGUCGUCUCUCCCUGCUCCAGCAUCGCGGCAAGCCUGAUCAAGAACCCGGUUGCACAUUGUUGGUCGGAACAAGUGCACCACAAAAGAAAAUUCUGCAAUGUAUGUCGUAAACGCCUCGAGGAUAGCCCAUCGAUUCACUGUGAGAUAUGCGAGUACUAUGUGCACACGGAUUGCCAGGAUUUUGCGGUUGCCGAUUGCAAGGAGAACGCGACUUACCUGCCAGGGAAGGAUUUAGCUUCGGUGCGUCACACCCAUCAUUGGCGGGAAGGGAAUCUUCCCAGCAAUUCGAAAUGCGUGGUAUGCAAGAAGACUUGCUGGUCGGCGGAAUGUCUUUCUGGAUAUCGGUGCGAGUGGUGUGGCAUGACGUCGCAUGCCUACUGCCACAAGAACAUACCGCCGGAGUGCACGUUUGGAAAUUUGGAGCCAAUAUACCUGCCUCCGCAUGCAAUCAGUAUACCUCGCACCGAGGUCCCUAUGGAGGCGAUCAUUGGGGUCCAGGUGCGUCGCAAGGAAGUUCUCGCGCGUGAGUAUUCUUGCCAUUACACUGGAGAGCAAUUCGAUUUCGCUGAGAGUGAACAAAUUGGGGGCGAAGGCCACCUUGCCGCAGCUUUGAGGCGCCUUUCACUAGUUUUGCAUCGUAGCUGCCAUGGAAAUUGUCAUGCUUCCCCUCCUUAUGUUCGAGCACGUAAUAUUUCAGAGGAAUUCAGCAGCGGAGACGCUCGGAAUCGAGACAAUGAUGAACCGGCGCAGCAAAGCGGUGCUCACAGCCGGGAUUCCAGGCCCCAGAAAGAAAAGGACGACAGAGACGAAGAGAUGAUCAAAGUUUACGAUGGCAAUAUUUCUGCGAGGCGUCGGAUAUUUCGAGUUAUCAACGUGCCUCGUCAAGCCAGUAUCGACCAGGUCCUCACCAUAGCUCUAAGAGCAUUCCACAUAACGAAAGAUCUGAAAAACUUUUACCUAACUGACUUGUACGCCGCCGACGAAGCUCGUUUGUGUGAUCCAACACCCAUUAAUAACUUACAGCGGAAGGAAGGCAAGCGUCCGGCUGUCUUUCUGCGUUUUAAGGACAACGAGUGUGGCGAGGUACGAGUCUACCCAGGUAAACUUCAGGUGUCUGAGGCAUUCUGCAACGUCCCUGUUGACGAAGGAAGUACCGUCACCGAUCUUAUUCGGGAAGCUCUUCUUCGGUUUGGACUUGAAAAUUUCAAAUGCGAGGAAUAUCGCUGCAGCGAGAUUUUACUGGAUCGUGGUGUAGUUACGGAACGGGUGCUGUCCUGGAACGAAAAACCUUGGGACAUCGUAAAGCUACUUGGAAAGGACUCGAUCCGUCAAAUGGAAUUGAUGAGGUUUUACCUUCAGUUGAAACAAGAUCCUCACGGGCCGAAUCUGGCGUUAUUUGUCGGCAAUCUUCCACCCAAUCUUUCAGAACGUAAUUAUGAGAAUAUGUUGACGGAGUUCUUGGGUAAAGAAAAUAAAUUUUCAUCCAUUGGCCCAAUUUAUUACGAGUAUGGAUCAAUGGUGAUUAUAUACGAGGAUUCAAACAAGGCCGUAAAGGCAUUGUACACAUUGCGCGAGUCAAAAUACGAAGACAAACACCUUUUAGUAAUGCUUCUGCCCAGCAUCGAGCCGAGUAUGGUACCGCCUGGUGUUCAGCCUCUACUUGUAUUUGUAAAUGUCAAGUCUGGUGGAUGUCAGGGUCUGGAAUUAAUUUCCAGUUUUCGAAAGCUUUUGAAUCCAUACCAAGUGUUCGAUCUGGAUAACGGAGGCCCCCUUCCCGGACUGUACGUUUUUCGGCAUAUAAGAAAUUACAAGAUUCUUGUGUGCGGAGGCGACGGAACAAUAGGCUGGGUAUUGCAAUGCCUUGAUAACGUUGGCCAAGAUAGCGAGUGUUCUUCGCCGGCAUGCGCAAUUGUUCCUUUGGGAACUGGCAACGAUUUGGCAAGAGUUUUGCGCUGGGGUUCCGGGUACACGGGUGGAGAAGAUCCGCUGAGUUUAUUGCGGGACAUCAUCGAUGCCGAGGAAAUAAAGUUGGAUCGAUGGACGGUGGUUUUCCACCCGGAAGAUAAGGAGGAUAAAUCUCAGCAAGUUCCCAAUGCCGCAGUUGCUGGUUCAACGAGCGAAGAUAAUACCCAAAUAUUUGUAAUGAACAAUUACUUUGGUAUCGGAAUCGACGCCGAUCUGUGUUUGGCCUUUCACAAUGCGAGGGAAGAAAAUCCAAACAAGUUCAACAGUCGAUUCCACAACAAGGGAGUAUACGUUAGAAUGGGAUUGCGCAAGAUGGUCGGUCAGAAACUCUGUAAAGACUUGCACAAGCAAAUACGAUUAGAAGUCGACGGAAAACUAGUAGAAUUACCGCAGGUCGAAGGCAUCAUUAUACUGAAUAUUUUGAGUUGGGGCUCUGGCGCUAAUCCGUGGGGUCCGGAGAAAGAGGAUCAGUUCAACAAACCGAAUCACUGGGACGGGGUGUUGGAAGUAGUUGGAGUUACAGGUGUGGUACACCUGGGACAAAUACAGUCUGGUCUUCGCUCCGCUAUGAGAAUAGCUCAAGGUGGACAUAUAAAAAUUCAUCUACACUCAGACUUGCCAGUUCAGGUAGACGGAGAACCCUGGGUUCAGAGUCCAGGCGAUGUUGUAGUCCUGAAGUCUGCGUUGAAGGCAACCAUGUUGAAGAAAAAUAAGAUCAAGCGUCGGAAUACCGAACCGUCGAUUCUACCUGCUAAUGGGGAGGGGGGCAAGAGCACGGACGAGUAAAUCAACCAUUCUGCAGCUUGCAACUAGUCAGUUGUUUGAUCAUUCGUUGUAAGGCCACGAUGCUGAAGAAGGUGAAGAGUAAAAUGAAGAGGCGAAAUACAGAGCCCAGCAUGCAGUUAGCGCUUCAAGCUGGACCCUCGAACGAUCCGGAUAUCGAG